GGGAGGAAGGGGAACCAGCUGGCCAGAAAAUUGCAAAGGUCGCUGAUGCAAUCUUGCAACAGCUUGCUCAGCCUUCCCUGUUAGAGCCCAGAGCCAGAGGGGAAAGGGUGCCAUUCUUAGGGGUCUGAGGUCAUUGGCCAGAGUCAGAAGCCAGCGUCAAUCCCUUGGUCUGCUACAGCCCUUCAGUUCUAGUCGAAGGUGAAAGUUUGGAAUUUAAAGUUCAUGCUUUAGUUGAUAGCCUUCCUGAUAAAUUUGGAGCACUCCUAGUAGCUGGCAGCAGUGACCAUGGAACUUCCCCAAGGACCACGAGGGUUCCAGACACAGUGGCUCCUGGGAAAGAAUAUGAUGUAUACCUAGACAAGAGAGCACCCAAUUGGUUUCCCCCUCGGAAGUGUCCACAGAGGCCAGAAGGAGUCAGCCCCCUGGAACUUGAGUCACAGAUGAGCUGCCAAGUGAUACUGGGAACCCAACCUGGGUUCUCUGUAAGAGCGAAUCCAAGCAGCAAGAUGGAGGAAAAAUCAAUUCAAAGCCUGAGGAGGACUGAUGAGGAAAAUGAUCCGAUGGGAGAACCUGGUUGAGACCAGUCCACCUUCACUGUAAACACUCCUUCACUUGCCGUAGAUCCGCCCUGGGGAUGUAGACACAGCUGGAAUUCCAUACACAAUCUGUGCAAACUUGUACCUGAGCAGUUCAUACCCACCUACCCCCAACCAGGUUGCCUACGUGUUAAAUUUAAAAUUUUUCUUUUAAGAUGUGUCUCUUGUAGUUCAGACUGGUCUUGAACUCUAUACACAGCUGAGGAUGGUGAUAAACUCCAUCCUUUGGCUUCCACCUCCUAAAUGCUGGGAUUAUGCCUUAUAUUAUAGUGUAUGUAUGUGUGUUGCUUUAGGUUCUCUUGUCCCGCCAGGCCCCACUGCCCUUCUCAGCCCCAAAUAAACACACUGUUGGCUGAUGGGUGGGACCUCUUAUUGGCUAGCUCUCUUUAAAUUGUUAACUCAUACCUGCUAGUCUAUGAAUCGUCACGAGGCUGUGGCUUACCGGUAAUCUAGCAUGUUACUCCUUCGGCAGCAUGGCAGCUCUACUGUCUCUCUCCGACUACCUUUCCCAGAAUUCUCCUCGUCUCCUAGUCCCACCUGUCUUCCUGCCUGGCCAAUCGAUGUUUUAUUCAUCAACCAAUAAGAGAAACAUAUACACAGAAGGACGUCCCCAUCAUGUGUGUGGAAUUAAAAAAAUGUGUAGGGAGAGACCUAAAACAUCCUAAUUUUUUGAAAAAGAUACAAGCUACUAUCUGUUUAAAAAUGAUGAAAAGAAAAUUUCAAGUGGGAUGUUGGUCUCUCUCUCUCUCUCUCUCUCUCUCUCUCUCUCUCUCUCUCUCUGUACCUAAAUAAAAUACAUAUUUUGUUGCUGGCCCAGAGAAUCCAGCCCCAAGGCUUGCCCCUCCCAUCCCUAUCUUCCUGAGAACCCUACCUGUCUUAUGAUACCAUUUUUUUUGUUUGUUUUUUUUUUUUUUGUUGUUUUUUUAAUUCCCCCAGUGUGUCAUAGUAUUGAAACCUGCAAUGGUUAGAUUUAGUUUCCAGUUUACUAUCCAUUAUUUGCAUUCUUCAGAAUAAAUUCUCAUUUAUUUUGUUGGAUGCCGGGUUCUCUCUGUCUAGGUAAUGCCUGGGUCAGUGUAAG
rnacentral:lncRNA from 1 species